rnacentral:lncRNA from 1 species
UGUUGAACCUGGUUCAGUAACUCCAACGGGUCAGCAGCAGCAGAGGAAGCCUAGGUAUAGGGAGUGUUUGAAGAACCAUGCGGUGGGGAUCGGCGGUCACGCUCUCGACGGUUGCGGUGAGUUCAUGCCGGCUGGAACUGAAGGCACCCUCGACGCUCUCAAAUGCGCGGCUUGUAACUGCCACCGUAACUUCCACCGCAAGGAAUCUGAGCUUGGCUCCCCAAACUCCAUCCACACCACGGACCUCUACUUCCAUCACCACCACCACCACCAGCCACCGCAAUUUGCGCCUUACUUCAGAGCACCAACAGGGUACCUCCACGUUGCCGGACAACAAAGGCCAUUAGCUUUACCAUCAACCUCAGGAGGAGGAGGACACAGCAGAGA